rnacentral:rRNA from 1 species
UACGUAGGUGGCAAGCGUUGUCCGGAUUUAUUGGGCGUAAAGAGCGUGUAGGCGGCCAGAUAGGUCCGUUGUGAAAACUGGAGGCUUAACCUCCAGCCGUCGAUGGAAACCAUCUGGCUAGAGUCCGGAAGAGGAGAGUGGAAUUCCUGGUGUAGCGGUGAAAUGCGCAGAUAUCAGGAAGAACACCCGUGGCGAAAGCGGCUCUCUGGGACGGUACUGACGCUGAGACGCGAAAGCGUGGGGAGCGAACAGG